GGCUCUAACUUCAGUAGUGGCUGCAUGUGUCAGUGCAACCACAGUCUGGUCUAUGGUUGGGAGGUAAUGGAAACUUAGGAGGGACAUAACUGAAGGAGUGGGUCUUGGGGUAAGAUCUUGGGGACUGUAUUUUGUCCCUGGUCCCUUCCCCUCUAGCUCUUUCCCUUUCUCUGUGCCAUAAGCUAAGAAGCUUUCCUUUAGCUGUGAUGUUUCUGUCUUGGCACAGGCUAAAAACAAUGGAGCCGGCCAACCAUGGACUGAAUCCUCUGAAACCAUGUGACAGAAUAAGGCUUUCCCCCUUAACACCGGUGUAUGUCAGGUGGUCAAACUGUCCAGUGAAUAAGCAAAAUAUGGGAAAACCAAGCUGCAGGUCUAAAUGAAGACAGAUGAAAAUUACUAAUGAAUGUGGUAAAAUGAAUUAAUUUUGAAAAUAAAGAUUUAAGAAAAA